rnacentral:rRNA from 1 species
GGAGCCAACCUUGAAAUACCACCCUGAUUUAUUUGAGGUUCUAACCUUGAUCCGUGAAUCCGGAUCGGGGACCGUGCAUGGUGGGCAGUUUGACUGGGGCGGUCUCCUCCCAAAAGGUAACGGAGGAGUACGAAGGUACGCUUAGGGCGGUCGGACAUCGCCCAUAAAGUGCAAUGGCAAAAGCGUGCUUGACUGCGAGACCCACAAGUCGAGCAGGUGCGAAAGCAGGUCAUAGUGAUCCGGUGGUUCUGUAUGGAAGGGCCAUCGCUCAACGGAUAAAAGGUACUCUGGGGAUAACAGGCUGAUACCGCCCAAGAGUUCAUAUCGACGGCGGUGUUUGGCACCUCGAUGUCGGCUCAUCUCAUCCUGGGGCUGUAGCCGGUCCCAAGGGUAUGGCUGUUCGCCAUUUAAAGAGGUACGUGAGCUGGGUUUAAAACGUCGUGAGACAGUUUUGGUCCCCUAUCUGCCGUGGGCGCUGGAUAUUUGAAGGGGGC